CAAUAGCGUAUAUUAACAUUGCUGCAGUUAAAAAGCUCGUAGUCGAAUUUCUGGCUUGACAAACUUGAACUGAAUCUCUCGAAGAUCAUGUUUCUUCGUUUGCGAGCCAUCCUUCUGGAGCUGUACUUCUCCUCUUGGAUGAGGGCGUCGUACAAUCCAGAUCCUUUACUGUGAGCAAAUGAGAGUGUUUAACGCAAGCUCAUGACAUGCCUGAAUCCUCUAGCAUGGAAUAAUAAGAUAGAACUUAAGUUCUAUUUUGUUGGCUUCUAGAAUUUAAGUAAUGAUCGAAAGGGAUAGUUGGGGGUGCUCGUAUUCAGAGGGGAGCGGUGAAAUGCGUUGAGCCUCUGAAGACGGACUAAUGCGAAAGCAUUCACCAAGGAUAUCUUCUUUGA
rnacentral:rRNA from 1 species